rnacentral:rRNA from 1 species
GAUGAACGCUAGCUACAGGCUUAACACAUGCAAGUCGAGGGGAAACGAUAGAGAAAGCUUGCUUUUUCUAGGCGUCGACCGGCGCACGGGUGAGUAACGCGUAUCCAACCUGCCCAUCACUUGGGGAUAACCUUGCGAAAGUAAGACUAAUACCCAAUGACGUCUCUAGAAGACAUCUGAAGGAGAUUAAAGAUUUAUCGGUGAUGGAUGGGGAUGCGUCUGAUUAGCUUGUUGGCGGGGUAACGGCCCACCAAGGCGACGAUCAGUAGGGGUUCUGAGAGGAAGGCCCCCCACAUUGGAACUGAGACACGGUCCAAACUCCUACGGGAGGCAGCAGUGAGGAAUAUUGGUCAAUGGACGAGAGUCUGAACCAGCCAAGUAGCGUGCAGGAUGACGGCCCUAUGGGUUGUAAACUGCUUUUAUAAGGGAAUAAAGUGAGUCUCGUGAGGCUUUUUGCAUGUACCUUAUGAAUAAGGACCGGCUAAUUCCGUGCCAGCAGCCG